rnacentral:rRNA from 1 species
UUGUAAUUNGUAGAAGGUGCUUCGGGUGCGACGACGGGAUAAGUCCCUUGGAACUGGGCGUCAUAGAGGGUGAGAAUCCCGUACAUGCCCGGCCGUCAACCCCGUGCGAAGCCCUUUCGACGAGUCGAGUUGUUUGGGAAUGCAGCUCUAAAUGGGUGGUAAAUUUCAUCUAAAGAAAAAUAUCUGCCAGAGACCGAUAGCGCACAAGUAGAGUGAUCGAAAGAUGAAAAGCACUUUGAAAAGAGAGUCAAACAGUACGUGAAAUUGUUGAAAGGGAAGCGCUCGCAACCAGACUUGCCCGCGGGUGUUCAGCCGUCCUCCGGGGCGGUGCACUCUCCCGCGUUCGGGCCAGCAUCGGUUUCGGCGGUCGGACAAAGGCCUCGGGAACGUGGCUCCCUCCGGGGAGUGUUAUAGCCCGGGGUGCAAUGCGGCCAGCCGGGACCGAGGACCGCGCUUUUGCUAGGAUGCUGGCGUAAUGGUUGCCAGCGACCCGUCUUGAAACACGGACCAAGGAGUCGACCAACGGCGCGAGUGUUUGGGUGUCAAACCCAUGCGCGCAAUGAAAGUGAACGCAGGUGGGAGCUUGGCGCACCAUCGACCGAUCCUGAUGUCUUCGGACGGAUUUGAGUAUGAGCACCGCUGGUCGGACCCGAAAGAUGGUGAACUAUACGUGAAUAGGGUGAAGCCAGAGGAAACUCUGGUGGAGGCUCGCAGCGGUUCUGACGUGCAAAUCGAUCGUCAAAUUUGCGUAUAGGGGCGAAAGACUAAUCGAACCAUCUAGUAGCUGGUUCCUGUCGAAGUUUCCCUCAGGAUAGCAGUAACGAAAAACAGUCUCAUGAGGUAGAGCGAACGAUUAGAGGCCUUGGGGUUGAAACAACCUUUACCUAUUCUCGAACUUCGAAUAUGUGAGAAGUCCUUGUUUCUUAAUUGAA